CGGGGCGUGGCGCAGCCCGGUAGCGCACCGGCUUUGGGAGCCGGAGGCCGUCGGUUCGAAUCCGACCGCCCCGACCG
rnacentral:tRNA from 1 species